AUUGAACGCUGGCGGCAGGCCUAACACAUGCAAGUCGAGCGAGCGGCGGACGGGUGAGUAAUGUCUGGGAAACUGCCCGAUGGAGGGGGAUAACUACUGGAAACGGUAGCUAAUACCGCAUACUAUCGGAUGAGCCCAGAUGGGAUUAGCUAGUAGGUGGGGUAAAGGCUCACCUAGGCGACGAUCCCUAGCUGGUCUGAGAGGAUGACCAGCCACACUGGUACGGAGACAGGCCCCAGACCCCUACGGGAGGCAGCAGUGGGGAAUAUAGCGCAAUGGGCGCAAUCCGGAUGCAGCCAUGCCGCGUGGAUGAAGAGGGCCUUAGGGGUGUAAAGUACGUGCAGCGGGGAGGCGUUACCCGCAGAAGAAGCACCGGCUAACUCCGUGCCAGCAGCCGCGGUAAUUC
rnacentral:rRNA from 1 species